UACGAAGGGGGCUAGCGUUGCUCGGAAUCACUGGGCGUAAAGCGCACGUAGGCGGAUUGCUAAGUCAGGGGUGAAAUCCUGGAGCUCAACUCCAGAACUGCCCUUGAUACUGGCGAUCUUGAGUCCGGGAGAGGUGAGUGGAACUGCGAGUGUAGAGGUGAAAUUCGUAGAUAUUCGCAAGAACACCAGUGGCGAAGGCGGCUCACUGGCCCGGUACUGACGCUGAGGUGCGAAAGCGUGGGGAGCAAACAGG
rnacentral:rRNA from 1 species